rnacentral:lncRNA from 1 species
GGACCUAUCUAGACUUGCCACAUGGUGGGUCGUGAGGAGUUCCAAGGUGUUCCUUGCAAAUUAUUUCAUAGGACUGAAGGACCGCAGAGAUUUGUUACUUCAGAGUUGACCACAUGGCAUGAUCUAGCAUUUUAAUGAUUGGAUCUACACUGCUCAAGACCUGUAUAAAUAGACUUGCUGCUUGAUGGAAUUUUGCCAUCCCAUCC